rnacentral:tRNA from 1 species
CCUUUGCUAGCUCAGUUGGUAGAGCGAAGGACUGUAAGCUUCGUUCUUCGGCGAACCCUUAGGUUGCUGGUUCAACUCCGGCUCGAAGGA